rnacentral:misc_RNA from 1 species
AAGGAUCAUUAAUGAAUUUUGAAAGGGGUUGUAGCUGGCCGUCUCUUUGGGGCGGCAUGUGCACGCCCUGAUCACUAUCCAUCUCACACACCUGUGCACACACUGUAGGUUGGCUUGUGAUUGGAGCUUACAGUCUUCAUUGACUUUGCUCUGGUUGGAGGCCCUCCUAUGUAUUAUCACAAACUACUUCAGUUUAAAGAAUGUACUCUUGCGUCUAACGCAUUUAA